CACAAUAUUGUACACCAUCACCACUAUUUCAAAAAUCUUUUAUUAUUUCAAGCAAAAACUCUAUAAUCAUUAAACAAAAGCUCUCCAUCCUCUCUCUCCCUAGAUCAUAAUUCCUAAUCUAUUUUCUGUCUUAUGAAUGCACCUAUUCGGAAUACCUUAUAAGUGUUAUCUGUUAUCAUAGAAUAUUUGUCCUUUCACAUCUAGAUUAUUUUGCUUAGCACAAUACCGUAAAGGCUCAUCUGUAUUAUAUAUAAGAUCUUUAUUCCUUUUUGUAGCUGAAUAAUAUUCUACUGUAUGGAAUUUCAUCAGCUGAUGCACAUUUGGAUUGUUUCUACCUUUUUGCCAUUAUGAAUAUUCUUGUUAUGAAUAUUUGUGUAAUUUUUGGGGGCAGUGCUUGGGAUUGAACCCUGGACCUCGCACAUGCUAGCACCAUUUGUUGAAGAGACUUCCCUCAUUGAAUGGUCUUGUCACCCUUGUCAAAAAUAAACUUCCCAAGGAUGAGUCUGUACCUCAGUGGUAGAGUGUUUGCCUAGCACAAGUGGCCAUGGAUUCAGUGCCCAGUACUGGAAAAAUAAUGACCAUUAACAUGUGAGUUUAGUUCUAGCAUCUCAAUUCUGUUCCACUGAUCUACGCAUCUGUCUUUAUGCCUCUACCACACUAUGUUGAUUACCAUUGUUUGGUGGUAAGUUUUGAAAUCAGGAAGUGUGAAUCCUUUAACUUUGUUCUUUUUCAAGAUUGCUUUGGUCCCUUGCAAUUGCACAUGAAUUUUAGGUUAAGAUUUCCCAUUUCAGAAAAAAAGGCAGUGGAGAUUUUGACAGAGAUUACAUUAAAUCUGUAGACCACUUUGGAGAGCAUUGCCAACUAAGAAUACUGUGUUUUCUAAUCAGUAAAUAUAGGAUAGCUUCCCAUUUAUUUAAAUCUACUUUAAUUUCUUUCAGCAGUAUCCUGUAGUUUUCAGUGUCUUUGAGUCUUGAACCUCUUUUAUUAAUUUGUAAGUAUUUUAUUCUGUUGAUGCU
rnacentral:lncRNA from 1 species